rnacentral:rRNA from 1 species
AACGAACGCUGGCGGCGUGUUUAAGACAUGCAAGUCGCACGGUGUAAAGUUGUAGCAAUAUGGCGAUACACAGUGGCGCACGGGUGAGUAACACGUGAAUGACAUGCCCUUGAGUGGGGGAUAGCCCAGGGAAACUUGGAUUAAUACCCCGUAGUCUCGCAAGAGUAAAGGUGGCAGCAAUGCUAUCGCUUAAGGAUUGGUUCGCGGCCUAUCAGCUUGUUGGUGAGGUAACGGCUCACCAAGGCAAUGACGGGUACCUGGUCUGAGAGGACGAUCAGGCACACUGGAACUGAGACACGGUCCAGACACCUACGGGUGGCAGCAGUCGAGAAUAAUUCACAAUGGGGGCAACCCUGAUGGUGCAACGCCGCGUGGAGGAUGAAGGUCUUCGGAUUGUAAACUCCUGUCAUCUGGGAGUAAGGCUUGGGUGUGAAUAGCACACAAGAUUGAUAGUACCAGAAGAGGAAGGGACGGCUAACUUCGUGCCAGCAGCCGCAGUAAAA